rnacentral:misc_RNA from 1 species
AGCUUGAAACAAAAAUUGUUGCAGCAAAAUACGCUCAUCUAACUUCUGUAGCAUCUUUUUCCAGACCAAAACAGAAGUUCAAUUCUAAUAACUUCGUUCCAAUUUCCUCCAUUAUUUUCCUUAAUGAAGUGUUACACACCGUACAUGGCAAAUCGUAUAACGUCGAUUCUCCCAUCAAUAUUCAAUGUCUCAUUCGGCAGGGCUUCAAUUAUGCCUGAAAUUAACUAAUAAAAGUAUAAAUAAGUGAUAAAACCCUGUUCUCUUCAAAAAAAUAGAUAAAACCCUGUUUUGGGAAAAUUUGAGGAAAGUUGACAACGAAAGAGAAUCCCCUAUUUAUCCAAAUUAGAUUCUACAAUAAUGGAAUGGUGUUCUGAGCAAUCCAUGGUUGUUUAGUUGCUUUGGUCUGGCGUAGCAGCAAGAUUGUUAAGUUCUGCAAAUCUCAAACCAACACGCAUUGAAUGUUUCAAGAACUUCUCAGCACAUCUCAUGAUACAGGUCUCCUCCUGCUUCUGCAGUGAUUUGCGUGU